CGUCAAUAAUAAUAAAGGUUUACAUUUUAACAAUUUUGUAAAACUGCUAUAUUUUGGGGCCAAAAAGGGGUCUUACUGAACGUACUCCUUUCCACUCUCAGAAAACAAAGCUUAUUUUAGGGAAAUUGAUCAAAUAGAGAAAUAAGGAUGUAUUAUGGUCUGAAAUAAGAUUGACUUGUGACAUCUACUAGGAGGAUGAUAUUCAUAGAGUAGAUUUUUAUAAACUGUAAUAUAUGCAUGUAAGUGUUAUUUCAGCUCACCAUAGUUAAUGCUUUCCUUAGCAAACCAUUUAUAUAUACCCUUAGAAAGCUGUACAGUUACAUAUGCAAUGGAUUUUAAAAUCAAUUGUCAAAAAAGAAAGAAUGGUAUGAUUGUGUAAGUUGAAUUCAUCUCUUGGUGGGUUGUUGUUUCUGACAUAUUCCCGAUUUCCAUUCUCAAUUUUACACAUUUUGGCUUUAAAAUCUUUAAAAUCCAAAUUUUUCCGAGUCUUUUUUUUUUUUUGGCUGUAAUGAUAAAUUUAUAAAUGAGAUUAAAUUCAAGACAAAAACCUGUUUUCUGUGUAUAUUUCAACAUGAUUUUGUUUGCCAAUAAUUUAUUUGACUGAAGUAUAUUUUUUUUGUUGCUGUAUCUUGUUAUAUUUGUGGUUCAGGAGUGAUAGUGUGAAUGCUGACAUGUAAAUGAUGUGUAAAUGGCAAUAAAUUAUAAAUAACAUAUAGAGGCUUUGUUGUAUAUACAUAUAUAGGUGCACGUUGAUGAUGGAGGAAGACUGUUUACCAUACAGCUGCAAAUUUAAUGCAUGUUUAGGACGAGAACCUGUUAAUGUGAUAUGACUAUAAAUUAACCCUGCUUUGUACUAGACUUGACACCCCCAGCCAAAUUUUAACAUGUUAGAUUGCAAGUUACAUUAAUUUUUAGAAAGAACAUUUUUCAACCUGCAUGGAAUCAUUUUCAAACUCUGAGCCUACCAGUCUAUGCACUUACUCGGGACUCCUCAACAAACCCAAGACCUCCCACACGUGAAUCUAACACACAACCACCUUUUUGCAUGUUGAAAGCUUUUAGAUUUGAUGGUUGGCAAUUCUGAAGCUUAAAAAUGUUAAGUCUUUCAAAUCAUAUACAUCAAUCUGAUAUUGAAAUAACUCUUCUUUCAAGAC
rnacentral:lncRNA from 1 species